AUUGAACGCUGGCGGCAGGCUUAACACAUGCAAGUCGAGCGGAGAUGAGGUGCUUGCACCUUAUCUUAGCGGCGGACGGGUGAGUAAUGCUUAGGAAUCUGCCUAUUAGUGGGGGACAACAUUCCGAAAGGAAUGCUAAUACCGCAUACGUCCUACGGGAGAAAGCAGGGGAUCUUCGGACCUUGCGCUAAUAGAUGAGCCUAAGUCGGAUUAGCUAGUUGGUGGGGUAAAGGCCUACCAAGGCGACGAUCUGUAGCGGGUCUGAGAGGAUGAUCCGCCACACUGGGACUGAGACACGGCCCAGACUCCUACGGGGGGCAGGAGUGGGGAAUAUUGGACAAUGGGGGGAACCCUGAUCCAGCCAUGCCGCGUGUGUGAAGAAGGCCUUAUGGUUGUAAAGCACUUUAAGCGAGGAGGAGGCUACUGAGACUAAUACUCUUGGAUAGUGGACGUUACUCGCAGAAUAAGCACCGGCUAACUCUGUGCCAGCCGCCGCGGUAA
rnacentral:rRNA from 1 species